CACACUCUUUUAUAUGACGCCGCGUCCUGGUUACCACCAUAUACGGCCCAUGCAGGAUGAAAAUCUUCUGCUUCAUUAGGUUCUUCAGAUUCAUACGCCAAUCACCUCAGAUCACAAGUGAUCUGUGCAAGGAGCAGUGAAAGGUCUUCGUCACUUAUCAGCUAUGCACGUAUCAGCGCAUGGCUAGUCGCCCGUGGUC